rnacentral:rRNA from 1 species
AGUUUGAUCCUGGCUCAGGAUGAACGCUGGCGGCGCGCCUAACACAUGCAAGUCGAACGGCACCCCUCUCCGGAGGGAAGCGAGUGGCGAACGGCUGAGUAACACGUGGAGAACCUGCCCCCUCCCCCGGGAUAGCCGCCCGAAAGGACGGGUAAUACCGGAUACCCCCGGGCGCCGCAUGGCGCCCGGGCUAAAGCCCCGACGGGAGGGGAUGGCUCCGCGGCCCAUCAGGUAGACGGCGGGGUGACGGCCCACCGUGCCGACAACGGGUAGCCGGGUUGAGAGACCGACCGGCCAGAUUGGGACUGAGACACGGCCCAGACUCCUACGGGAGGCAGCAGUGGGGAAUCUUGCGCAAUGGGGGGAACCCUGACGCAGCGACGCCGCGUGCGGGACGGAGGCCUUCGGGUCGUAAACCGCUUUCAGCAGGGAAGAGUCAAGACUGUACCUGCAGAAGAAGCCCCGGCUAACUACGUGCCAGCAGCCGCGGUAAUACGUAGGGGGCGAGCGUUAUCCGGAUUCAUUGGGCGUAAAGCGCGCGUAGGCGGCCCGGCAGGCCGGGGGUCGAAGCGGGGGGCUCAACCCCCCGAAGCCCCCGGAACCUCCGCGGCUUGGGUCCGGUAGGGGAGGGUGGAACACCCGGUGUAGCGGUGGAAUGCGCAGAUAUCGGGUGGAACACCGGUGGCGAAGGCGGCCCUCUGGGCCGAGACCGACGCUGAGGCGCGAAAGCUGGGGGAGCGAACAGGAUUAGAUACCCUGGUAGUCCCAGCCGUAAACGAUGGACGCUAGGUGUGGGGGGACGAUCCCCCCGUGCCGCAGCCAACGCAUUAAGCGUCCCGCCUGGGGAGUACGGCCGCAAGGCUAAAACUCAAAUGAAUUG